AUUGCCCUAGUAACGGCGAGUGAAGCGGCAACAGCUCAAAUUUGAAAUCUGGCGUCUUCGGCGUCCGAGUUGUAAUUUGCAGAGGGCGCUUUGGCAUUGGCAGCGGUCCAAGUUCCUUGGAACAGGACGUCACAGAGGGUGAGAAUCCCGUACGUGGUCGCUAGCCUUUACCGUGUAAAGCCCCUUCGACGAGUCGAGUUGUUUGGGAAUGCAGCUCUAAAUGGGAGGUAAAUUUCUUCUAAAGCUAAAUACUGGCCAGAGACCGAUAGCGCACAAGUAGAGUGAUCGAAAGAUGAAAAGCACUUUGGAAAGAGAGUUAAAAAGCACGUGAAAUUGUUGAAAGGGAAGCGCUUGCAGCCAGACUUGCCUGUAGUUGCUCAUCCGGGUUUCUACCCGGUGCACUCUUCUACGGGCAGGCCAGCAUCAGUUUGGGCGGUUGGAUAAAGGUCUCUGUCAUGUACCUCUCUUCGGGGAGAACUUAUAGGGGAGACGACAUGCAACCAGCCUGGACUGAGGUCCGCGCAUCUGCUAGGAUGCUGGCGUAAUGGCUGUAAGCGGCCCGUCUUGAAACACGGACCAAGGAGUCUAACAUCUAUGCGAGUGUUUGGGUGUCAAGCCCGAGCGCGUAAUGAAAGUGAACGGAGGUGGGAACCUUUCGGGGUGCACCAUCGACCGAUCCUGAUGUCUUCGGAUGGAUUUGAGUAAGAGCAUAGCUGUUGGGACCCGAAAGAUGGUGAACUAUGCUUGAAUAGGGUGAAGCCAGAGGAAACUCUGGUGGAGGCUCGCAGCGGUUCUGACGUGCAAAUCGAUCGUCAAAUUUGGGCAUAGGGGCGAAAGACUAAUCGA
rnacentral:rRNA from 1 species